rnacentral:misc_RNA from 1 species
GAUGAAGAACGCAGCGAAAUGCGAUACGUAAUGUGAAUUGCAGAAUUCAGUGAAUCAUCGAAUCUUUGAACGCACAUUGCGCCCCCCAGUAUUCUGGCGGGCAUGCCUGUUCGAGCGUCAUUUCAACCAUCAAGCCCUGCUUGUGUUGGGGUCCUGCGGCUGCCCGCAGGCCCUGAAAACCAGUGGCGGGCUCGCUAGUCACACCGAGCGCAGUAGCACAUCUCGCUCAGGGCGUGCGGCGGGCUCCAGCCGUUAAAGCACCCACCUUUCGCAAGGUUGACCUCGGAUCAGGUAGGAAUACCCGCUGAACUUAAGCAUAUCAAUAAGCGGAGGA